CCGGUGGACCGCGACUGGCGCGUAGGGAUGGAAUCGACCAUCGGGAAGCGGUCCCGUGGAUCCGCACGUCGUUGCCGAGCGCCUGGGCCGCCCGC
rnacentral:ncRNA from 2 species